rnacentral:rRNA from 1 species
UACAGAGGUCCCGAGCGUUGUUCGGAUUCACUGGGCGUAAAGGGUGCGUAGGUGGCGGCGAAAGUUUGAUGUGAAAUCUCCGGGCUUAACCCGGAAAAUGCAUUGAAUACUGCGUCGCUGGAGGUUUGGAGGGGGGACUGGAAUUCUUGGUGUAGCAGUGAAAUGCGUAGAUAUCAGGAGGAACACCGGUGGCGAAGGCGGGUCUCUGGGCCGAUACUGACGCUGAGGAGCGAAAGCGUGGGGAGCGAACAGG